rfam:Candidatus Gottesmanbacteria bacterium RIFCSPLOWO2_01_FTLL_48_11 rifcsplowo2_01_scaffold_138045, whole genome shotgun sequence.
UUUCAGGAGGAUUUGAUCCUGGUCCAGGAUGAACGCUGGCGGUGUGGAUUAGGCAUGCAAGUCGAGCGCCUGACUUUCAUUGACUAGAACCAAUUUGGUAAUGGUCGCCGAAAGUCGGGAGCGGCAAACGAGUUAGUAACACCUUGGAACCUACCCUGUACUCAGGAAUAAGCCAUCGAAAGAUGGUCUAAUGCCUGAUAGUCUCGCAAGAGUAAAGCUCCGGCGGUACAGGAGGGGCCUAGGCCCGAUCAGCUUGUUGGUGAGGUAAUGGCUCACCAAGGCUACGACCGGUAGGGGAGGUGAGAGCCUGACCCCCAACGACGGAACUGAGAUACGGUCCGUACACCUACGGGUGGCCGCAGUCGAGAAUAUUCCACAAUGGGCGAAAGCCUGAUGGAGCGACGCCGCGUGCAGGAAGAAGGCCUUCGGGUUGUAAACUGCUUUUCUAGGGGAAGAAGUUUUGACGGUACCCUAGGAAUAAGGAAUGGCAAACUUCGUGAAUGACAUGGAUUAAGCUCCAUGUCAGCCAUUCAAGCAACGCUACAAAAUAGCGUUUUCGUAAUUACUGGCGCGACUUCUUAUGGAAACAUAAGAAUGCACAACUUGGCUUAUAUGCGGGAAGUCUAUGGAGGGCUGCGCUCCGACAAUAUCAGAGUUCCCUAUAGAUAAUCCGCAGGGAAGUCGGUAGUGGUAAAACUACUUGACCCCUCAGAGACUGAGCUCGUAAGAGCGAGAUAGAGACUUUUCUCUAUAACACGCCAAGCACCCUACGGGGUGAUGAUAUAGUCCGAUCCUUACAGCGAUGUAAGUAAAUAAUUGGCCAGCAGCAGCGGUAAUACGAAGAUUCCAAGCGUUAUCCGAAUUUAUUGGGCGUAAAGCGUACGUAGGGGGCCUGAUGCGUCCGCCGUUAAAUCUCACUGCCUAACAGUGAGGCCGCGGUGGAUACGAUUAGGCUAGAGGAUGCGAGAGGUCUGUGGAACGCACGGUGUAGGGGUGAUAUCCGUUGAUAUCGUGCGGAACACCAAAGGCGAAGGCAGCAGACUGGCGUACUCCUGACCCUCAGGUACGAAAGCGUGGGUCGCGAAUGGGAUUAGAUACCCCAGUAGUCCACGCCGUAAACUUUGUCGACUAGCUGUUUCGAGUAUCGACCCUCGGAGUGGCGCAGCUAACGCGUUAAGUCGACCGCCUGGGAAGUACGAGCGCAAGCUUAAAACUCAAAGGAAUAGACGGGGGUUCGCACAAGCGGAGGAACAUGAGGUUUAAUUCGAUAGUAAGCGAGGAACCUUACCUGGGUUUGAAGCUCAAACGACGAUUUGCUGAAAGGCAGAUCUCUGGAUUUUCUAGCGUUUGGGCAGGUGCUGCAUGGUUGCCGUCAGCUCGUGUCUUGAGAUGUACCCUUAAGUGGGAAAACGAGCGCAACCCUCAUCGUCAGUUACAAGUGUCUGGCGAAACUGCCCUGAUUCACAGGGAGGAAGGAGAGGACGACGUCAAAUCCGCAUGGCCUUUUGAUACCCAGGGCGACACUCAUGUUACAAUGGCUAGUACAAUGGGUUGCUAAACCGCGAGGUGGAGCUAAUCCCACAAAACUAGUCUCAGUUCGGAUUGUAGGCUGAAACUCGCCUACAUGAAGUUGGAUUCGCUAGUAAUCGUGCAUCAGCCACGGCACGGUGAAUACGUUCCCGAACCUUGUACUCGGGACGCUGUGCGAUUGUGGAAGCUAGUCCGUAAAAUCGGACUGCAGCAAAACAUAG